ACUUUGAUCUUCAUUACUUUGCUUAAAUCUGACACAAUCCUAUGAGGUAGAAAGGACUUGAUAUUAUCAUCCCUAAAUAAAGAGAUUAAAGAUUAGAGAGUGGUUAGUCCAGGGUUAUGCAAAUAGUCUACUGCAAAGCCUGGGUGGUCUCUGGCAGGCAACAGUAAAGCCAUAUGCACAUGAAACAGGUGUAUGAAGAGGUGGGUGAGACUGAGACUGAGAGGGUGGAUGGUGCAGUGUUUCAGGCCAGUAAUGCCAGCGCUUUGGGAGGCUGAGGCAGAAGGAUUGCUUUAGCUCAGGAGUUUGAGACCAGCCUAGACAACAUAGCAAGACCUUGUCUCAAAAACUCAAAAACUUAGCCAGUCAUUGUGUUGCACAGCUGCAAUCCCAGGUACUCAGGAGGCUGAGGCAGGAGAAUCACUUGAGCCCAGGAGGUCAAGGCUGCAGUGAGCCAUAAUUGCGCCACUGUACUCCAGCUUGGGUGACAGAAUGAAAAAAAAUAAAAAAAAAACCCACCUAAAACUAUAAAACUUUUAGAAGACAACACAAGAGAAAAACUUUUGUGGCUGGGAGUGGUGGCUCACACCUGUAAUCCCAGCACUUUGGGAGGCAAAGGGAAGCAGAUCACUUGAGGUCAGGAGUUCAAGACCAGCCUGGCCAACAUAGUGAAACCCGUUUCUACUAAACAUACAAAAAUUAGUAGUGGUGGUGGGUGCCUGUAAUCCCAGCUACUCAGGAGGCUGAGGCAGCAGAAUUGCUUGAACCUAGGAGGUGGAGGUUUCAGUGACCCGAGAUCAUGCCACCGCACUCUAGCUGGGGCAACAGAGCGAGAUUCCGUCAAAAACACACACACAUACACACACACACACACACACACACACACACACACACAAAAAAAAAAAAAAAAAAAAAAACACUGGCUGGGCAUGGUGGCUCACGCCUGUAAUCCCAGCACUUUGGGAGACCUAGGUGAACAGAUCAUGAGGUCAGGAGUUCGAGACCCGCCUAACCAACAUGGUGAAACCCUGUCUCUACUAAAAAUACAAAAAUUAGCCGGCUGUGGUGGCAUGCACCUGUAGUCCCAGCUACUCAGGAGGCUGAGGCAGCAGAAUUGCUUGAACCUAGGAGGUGGAGGUUUCAGUGACCCGAGAUCAUGCCACCGCACUCUAGCUGGGGCAACAGAGCGAGAUUCCGUCAAAAACACACACACAUACACACACAAAAAAAAAACAAAAAAAAUAAAAAAAAUAAAACACUGGCUGGGCGUGGUGGCUCACACCUGUAAUCCCAGCACUUUGGGAGACCCAGGUGAACAGAUCACGAGGUCAGGAGUUCGAGACCCGCCUAACCAACAUGGUGAAACCCUGUCUCUACUAAAAAUACAAAAAUUAGCAGGCUGUGGUGGCAUGCACCUGUAAUCCCAGCUACUCAGGAGUCUGAGGCAGAACAAUCGCUUGAACCUGGGAGGUGGAGGCUGCAGUGAGCCGUGAUUGCACCACUGCACUCCAGCCUGGGCAACAGAGCGAGAAUCCAUCUCAAAAAAAAAAAAAAAAAAAGUGACAUUAGAUUAUGCGAAGAUUUAUUAGCUAUGGCACCAAAGCAAAAUUGAUAAGUCAGACUUCAUCAAAAUUUAAAACAAGAGCUUUCUAAAAACAGUGUCGUUUAAGAAAAGAAAGACAAGCCAUGGAAUAAGAGAAAAUACUUGCAGAGUAUAAAUCUGAAAGUGACUUGUACCCAGAAUACGUAAAGAACUCUCAAAACUCAGUAAAGAAGGCCAGGUAUGGUAGUUCAUAUCUGUAAUCCCAGCACUUUGGGAGGCUGAGGCAGGAGGAUCACUUGAGGCCAGGAGUUCAAAACCAGCCUGGGCAAUAUGGCAAGACCCCAUCUCUCUUAACGAAAAAAAAAAAAAAACUCAAUAAGAAAACAAACAACCCUCCUCCAAAACAAUGAGCGAAACUUUGAUAUACAAAACAUGGAUGAAUCACAAAAUUGUGCUGAGUGAAAAAAAGCCAAACAAAAAGAAAAGGAGUACAUACAAUAUGAUUCCACUUAUAUAAAAUUCUAUAAAACACAAAGUAAUCUCUAGUGAGAAGAAGGCAGGUCAGUGGUUCCCUGGAGUAGGAGGGAGGAUUACAAGGGAGCAUGAGGAAACUUUAGGAGGCGAUGAAUGUUCACCAUCUUGAUUUUGGUGAUGGUUUCAGAGGUGGAUACAUAUCUCAAAUUUAUCAAAUUAAACACUUUAAAUGUGUGUAGUUUAUUUUAUGCCCUUUAUACCUCAAUAAAGCUGUUUUUUAAAAAUAAAAUUAUAUUAACAGAUGUCAUUGACUGAGUGCUUGUCAUGCUUGAUUGUUUCUUUUUGGUUAUAUUAUCAUUGCACAUUUCUUAUUUUAUUCAGGGUAGGCAUGCAGUCAACUAAAAGGAUCACAUAUCUCAACCUCCUUAGCAGGUAGAUGUAGACCUAGACUAAGUUCUGGCCAAAGAGAUGUAAGCAGAAGUGUCAUGUGGUGUUUCUGGAAAGUCUUCCUUAACAGGAAUAAGGCAUGCCCUUCAUCUCUUCUUCCUUCUGUAUAGAAUGAAGAUCUGCUGACUGUGAUUCCAGCAGCCUUUUCAGACCAUAAAGUGACUUUGAAAGCAUCAACCAAGUGCUGAUGAUAGGAACGGGAGCCUGAGUCCCUUACGAUAUGAUGAAACCACCAUAUUAGCUCCAGACUUCCACACCCUAGACUUCUGUGAGAAAAGUCAACUUCUACCUUGCCUAAGCCAGUUGUUUUGGUUCUUUGUUUUUCUAUUAUGUGCCAUUGAACCUAGUCCUCACUGAAAGAGCCUCCCUCAGUGAUGUUCAGUAUGGUGGGGCUAACUCUCUGGUAGUGGGGUACUUAGGUCUUAUGACAAGUUGACACCUUGAGUGAACAUUGUCUUCAUGCUUCCUGCUAGCUCACAGACAUUGCCCCAAGCCUGGCUGACACAGGCUUUGAUUCCCUGAAUCCACUUUGCUGUUUUCAUCUGCUCUAAUCUGCUUUCUGGCUUUGUGUGGACAUCUUAUUUUCCUUACAAAUACAUUGGUCAGGGCUGAACUCGAUCAAUUCUUAAUACCACUUUGGCCCAGUUGCACUUUGUACUGAAAAUAAGUAACACAGUAUAUGUUUGUGUUAUAGUUUUUUUUUUUGCUUCCAAUUCAUGUUAUAUCGAUUAUUUCACAUGGUCUUCUAAACCACUAAAUUGAGGAGGGCAGAGAUGACACUCUCAUCUCUCAGAUGAAGAGGACUGACAGAAGCGAGCAAUCUACAAAUGUCCCCAGGAAAGAGUGGGGCGUUGAGAGUACAGCGAGGGCCCCGACUCUGUGCCUGUCCUGUGCUGCAGAACAGCUCUCCCUCAGUCACUCACUCCUUUAUUCCCAUUUGUUUUUCAAAUGCUUGCCAAGCACCUGCUCUGCAGCAGGAACCUGCCAUCCCACGUGUUGGGGACACUAAGAGGAGCCAGACAUGCUCCGGGCUCUCAAGGAGCCACCAGUGCAGAAGAGGCCACUCACCAUACACACCCACAGUGCCAUGGACAAGCAAGCUGUCAGGGUGGCGUCUCGGGGUAGAUGAUGGAGGUGCAAGGAAAAGGACAAUUCCCUGGUGUCUUCCCUUAUCUGUUUUUAGGUAAGAACUAGAGCAUUCUACUAUUUCCUCCUCUUUUCCUUUGAUUACCAGUCAUUUCCACCUUCCAUUCAUUCCAGUCAUCUCCUCUUAACCUCUGUGGAAUAAAUGGACUUUAAUGUGUUCCCAUCUAUUCAAUAUCAUUGCAAAUAUUUUGCCAGUUUAUCAUAUUUCUUUUUGGCAACUUACUGUUUACUUCUCUCCACCCUGGAUUUCUUUGAGAGAGAUUCACUUUCUCUUCAUCCAUUCCUUAAAACAUUUACUCUUCCUGCUAUGAGGUGACCCCAUCUCCCAUCAGUAUAUCCUCUGAAGCCUUCAUGUUCCAGGCCUUCCUCUCCUUGGCUCUGGUUAGCUGUCCUCCUGGCAUCACUCAUCACUGGGCUUUCAGAGGCAGAACCCCCAAAGCCUGAGUUUCUCCUGCCUUCCAUCAGACUUAGGGCUAGGAAAACAUAACCUUUACCAAAAGGCAGUGUGAUGGUAGAACAUCCACUAGACCAGGGCCUAACCAAAGCCUUGCUCUCUAACUAGCUAACCAUGACCUUGGACAAAUCACCUUCUUUCUCUGAACCCCAAUUUCCCCUUAGGUAAAACAAUAGGAUUCAACUGCAGCCUUGCCCAGCCCUGACAUGAUAUAAUUCUAACUAUAUUGACCGGUGCUGCCCAGUGACAUGGCCACUAGGCAUGUGGCCAUUGAGCCCCUUGACAUGUGGUUAGUCCAAAUUGAGAUGUGCCAUGAAUGCAAAAUAGACACACCAAAGACUCUGUACAAAAAAAGCAUGCAAAAAUCUCAUGAAUAAUUUUAUAUUAAUUACAUAUUAAAAUAAUAUUUUGGAUAGUUUAUAUGAAUAAAAUAUAAUGCAAAAAUAAAUUUCACCUGUUUUGAGUUUUUUGUUUUGUUUUUGUGUGUGUGUGACAGGGUCUCACUCUGUCACCAAGGCAGGAAUGCAGUGGUGUGAUCACAGCUCCUGCAGUCUCAAACUCUCAAGCUCAAGUGAUCGUCCCACAUCAGCCACCCAAGUAGGACUCUAGGUACGCACCACGAUGCCAGGAGUCUUACUAUGUUGCCCAAGCUGGUCUCAAACUCCUGGCCUCAAACCAUCCUCCCACCUUGACCUCCCAAAGCACUGAUUACAGGCACGAGCCACUGCACCCAGUCCUGCCUUUUACUCUUUUAAAAGUGGUUCCAAGAAUGUUUUAAAAUUGUUUCUACUGGCCAGAGCCAGUACAAUUAUCUCACAAGAAGCCUAGCACCACUGACUGAGGCUCAGCUCAUUCCACACACAGGGUAAAGAGGAAAAUCUUCGGUCUAACUUAGUCUCCAGGUGACUAGGAUGAUUUGGAUCUGGACAGGGGUUCAUAACCUGAGGAUAAAGCACUGAGCAGAAUUCAGGUAAUCCAUGAACUUGAAAAAUGACAUCUAUCUUUUCACUAUCCUCUAACUGAAAGUUAGCAAUUGCUUCCAUUAUGAAGGCAAUUUGUAGGCAUCAUAGAAAUAUUGGCUGUAUUUGUUUGUCAGCAACAGAAAUCAGUUAUUUUCAUAACACAUUAUUGUUGUUACAGAAUUGCAAAAUAUCACUCAGGUGCAUCACUACCACACAAUUUUGGUAGAUAUUAGACCUGCUGCUGGAUCUUGUUAUUUGACGUGUUACUAAAGCAACACAUACCUUACCAUAUCCCAGAUUUGUCUUUAUGUUUUGGUAACUGUACUGCAAUUUAUUUCCUUUGAUAUUUGUGGGGUGUUAUUUCAUGUAUGUAAAAACAUUCUGAGAAGGGGUCCUUCUGUAGCCUGCUAGAGGGGUUCAUGGCACUCCCCCACAAAAUAUAUGUAUAUAAACCCCAACUGACAAAGAUGGGGUAUUUUCAUCAGCCAGGGUACUGGAACACCCUGAAUAGAGGCGGACACUAGGCCUAAAGGGGUUCCAGGCACGAGGUAGACUGUCUCACUAAAGAUGCCAAGUGUCCCUCAGCUUGUCUGACCCCCUAGGCAGCCCCUUUAGCUGAAGAAUCAGAGGACACAAUAUUAGACCCUUUCGUUUUGAUGCCAGGACUUUUUGAUUUUCACUAUUUUGAAGAAAUGGUGAAACACACACCAUUAAAUUGUAGGAUCCCUUUAAAAUUACUAAAUAAUAUGUGCAACAGAUAUCCUUCCUUACGCCAUCCCCGAACCAAACUUCCAUAUCACAACCUCACCCCAAAGUGGGCAUCGGGAUUGGCAAAGGGCCCAGAAAUGGGUGUGUCUCAGCCUGCGAGGCACAGAGCUCCAGGGGUAGGCCAAGCUCUAAAACCCAUUUGAUGUCUGAUCAAAAUAUCCUGCUUUGGUUUUACUAAACCCUUCUCUGCAACAGCUGAGUUUAGCCUAGGGGCAGGGCUCUAGCAGUGGCUGCUGAGAAGUCUAGUUUAGGUAUUCUUUCCCAAGCCAGCCAGCCACUCCCAGAUCUCUGGACAACACAGCCUCACCCACAACCCAAGCACCAGGGAUAGACUAGAAGCACAAAAUCAGCCACCACUCACUGGGCAGCUCUUGUGCCAACACUGUCCUGCCACUCUACCUGUAAAGUCUCAUUCAAUACUCUAGGCAAAACAAGGAGGUUAGCCCUGGGUUAUGGAUGUAGACACUGAAGCCAAACAGCUUCCCCAAGACCAGCUAUUAAGUGAGGGAGCCAAGUUUUUAAUCCAGGUCUGUUUAACUCCAGAGAUAUUUCCCCAAACAAGCCACCUCCCCACUUGGUUGAGGCCAGCCAACACUGAGGUCCUUGAGGAGAAGGUGGAGUCCCUUUUACAGAACUCAGCGGAUAUCAACUAACCAAACAUAACUUGUAAACAGUGUUCAGUUCUCUGUAAAGCCCUAAUCCAAUCCACUGCAGACCUACAGCCCAACAAUGGGCUCUUGACCUGGUCACUUUGCUUCUGGGUCUAUUUCGUCAUCUGUGAAGUGAGAAGCCUGGGUUUAAAUGGUUUCCAAGCUCAAGGGAGAGGCUAAGGGGAGGCUCCAGACACCCCUUGCCAGUUUCAACCACACAGCUUUGCUUUCCUCUGAUUUGCAUGUUGAAACUUCAGGUAAGAUUUCCUGAAGGGAUCCAUAGCCAAAACAUGUUUGAAGGCCACUGGGCUCGCUAACUUCUAAAAGCACCCCAGUUCUAGCAGACAUCCUAAGGAACAUUCCCAGGAAAAUUCCAGCCUAGAACCUCCUGGGGUCUGACAACCUUAGAGAACAGUGCUGGCUUUGAAUGGGCUUGGGGGCAGCCUCGAAACCCUCUUUCCAGUCUCCAUGCAGGCAGGGGAGCUCCUUAAGCAACACAUAGGACAUUUCUGGGAGAAAUGGGAUCCCCAACACAAUGAACACUAUAGAUUUUAAUGGUCUAUAUGGUUAAAUACACAAGGCCCCUCAUUUCCAACCCCGCCUGUUCAUCUGAUUCAUCUGUACAGUUUGUUAUAAAAGAUUCCCUCCCCAACAUGGUAAAACCCCAUCUCUAGAAAAAUAAAAAAAUAGUUGGGCAUGGUGGUGCACACCUGUAGUCACAGCUACUCAGAAGGUUGAGGUGGGAGGAUCGCUUGAGGCCAGGAAUCUGAGGUUGCAAUGAGCCAUGACCAUGCCACUGCACUCCAGCCUGGGCAACAGCAAGACCCUAUCAAAAAAAAAAAAAAAAAAAAAAUUCCCUCCCUGGAAUUCUCAGGAAUGGAUCCCACUAAAGUUUUUAAACAAGCCCACCCACUGAUUAUGAUGGCCAUCUUGUGGAACCACUACAACAGAUGGUAGCAAUAGAGAAAUUAAGAGGGUCAGCUUCCAUCUCCCCUAGUGAAGACUUUAAUAAAAGAUUUUCCAAAAGCCAGGUGCUGUGGUGCAUGCCUAUAGUCCCAGCUACUCAGAAGGCUGAGGCAGGAGGAUCCAUCCCUUCAGCCCAGGAGUUCAAGACCCACCUGGGGAACAGCAAGACCUGCCCCAUCGCUUAAAAAAAUUUUUUUUCCAGAAAAAAAAGAGACUUCUAGGGACAUUCCAACAACUCUCAUAAACCAUGGUAGCCAAGCAUAUGCCAAGUUCAGCAACCAAAACAACCUUCCUGUUGCAAUCUGAAUCCCACCAUUAGAUGGCAGGCACACAUCAGACAACCUGACUAUACAGCCUGUCCUACUUCGCAGCAGUUGCUUUGGGUUUAAAUCAAGUUUCCUUCUCAGUAAAACUGGAGCAUGACCACAUUCCUUAUAUAUUUCGCAGGACUGUUUUAAGGAUAAAAUGAAAAGUGUAACGAGAGCUGGAAAAGGUGAAUAUGAACAUUACAAUGCAAACUGGAAAUUUCAGAAACAGAAGAGAAAGCACAUGCCAUUAUAAAGAGAAAUCUUGAGAACAUCCACAACUACAAUUAUCUUGGGUGAAAAACUCCUGGGCUUUUCAGCAUAGAAUUCCACCAUCACAUGUGAGCUAUUUAGGCAGAGGCCAUGGUGGCUUUCCCUGGACCAGAACAGUCAGAAUUCAGUGAACACUGCAUUAAACCCUGCACUGUUUUCAUUCUGGGCACCAUGUCAUAGGCACCAUUGGAUCUAGUCCAUAGGCACCAUUGGAUCUAGACCAAACACACCCUAAUAUGAAAAGGCAAUGCUAAGCGUGGAUUUGACUGUAUGAAAAGGGAGUGUGUAUAAGGCACAACUUCAUAUUCUCCUGCCCCUCACCUCCAUUCAUUUAAUUGAGAACAUAUAUCUUGGUUUAGUCCUAACUCACAUUUUUUUACUUGGUAUUUUGUUAUUUUAGUUCAUGAAAAAAUUAUAAGCAUAUGUGUGUGUGUGUGUGUGUGUGUGUAUACACACGCGCACACACACACACACACACACACACAAUCCAAAAUCUAGCAAGUAGCUUUACUUCAUUCUGGGUUUAGGAAGUGAUCUGAUUACAGUCUGCUUUAAAAUAGAAAUCUAAAGGCUGGGCGCAGUGGCUCACGCCUGUAAUCCCAGCACUUUGGGAGGCCGAGGCAGGUGGAUCACGAGGUCAGGAGAUUGAGACCAUCCUGGCUAACAUGGUGAAACCCCGUCUCUACUAAAAAUACAAAAAAAAAAAAUUAGCCAGGAGUCGUGGUGGGCGCUUGUAGUCCCAGCUACUUGGGAGGCUGAGGCAGGAGAAUGGCGUGAGCCUGGGAGACAGAGUUUGCAGUGAGCCGAGAUCGCGCCACUGCACUCCAGCCUGGGCAACAAAGCAAGACUCUGUCUCAAAAAAAAAAAAAAAAAGAAAGAAAUCUAAACAUCCCCCCAGCACCAAAUAACAGAAAUCCAUCUCUGGUUCCAUCCUCUCAAAGCACUUUCCCACAUCCCAAGUCUCCUUCUCCACCCCUUAUUUAAAACCUUUCAGCAGGUCCUAACAAGUUUCUUUUAAUCUGCCCCAAUUAGGGUUUGAUUAAAGCAGCACUAGUCAAACAGGCGUCUCCUCCUAGCUGUGGAGCUGGAGGAUGGCUCAGAGGAUGUUGUGACACAAGGGUGGGGAGACAAAAAUAAAAAAUCAACUCUGGGGCAUUACUGGCCUGUACCACGGUCCCCUCUAACUACAACAAAGGUGCAGAAACACACUGUGAGAACCAACUGGCAUCCCAAGCAAAGCAUCAAAGUCCAGAGGUGGUCGGCUUGGGACAGGUGAGACUGCGAGCAGUGCAGAGGGAAACUGAACCACAGCUAAGCACCGGCUUGCACGACCACUGCCUGUGUGACACCAGGCAAGCCACUCACUGUGACACACAAUGUCUUCACCUGCCAGAAGUUGACAAUGCUUACAUUAGCUCUUGCAGGGGCACCUGCGUGUUGUUUAAAAUAGCCACCUUUUGAGGGCAGAUCCUGUUAAAAACCUGCUAAAUUCACAGAUGGGGUUGCACCUGUCAGAGUGGAGUGAGUGGCUAGAAAGAAAAUGGCUCUGCUCAUCAAUGACAGUCAUUGGGUGCCUGGUAGGCAGUGGUAGAAGAGUUGAAUGAGAAGCUAAGAAAGGUGGCAAGCUGAUAGGGGAUAGGGCACCACAAACAACAGAGAAGCCGUAUUUUUUUCCUUUUUUUUUUUGAGACAGUCUUGCUCUGUUGCAGUGGUGUGCAGCGGUGUGAUCUCAGCUCACUGCAAUUUCUGCCUCCUGCGUUCAAGUGAUUCUCGUGCUUCAGCUUCCCGAGUAGCUAGGAUUACAGGCAUGUGCCACCACACCUAGCUAAUUUUUGUUUAGUAGAGAUGGGGUUUCACCCUCUUGCCCAGGCUGGUCUCAAACUCCUGGCCUCAAGCAGUCCUCCUGCCCUGGCCUCUCAAAGUGCUGGGAUUAUAGGCAUGAGCCACCACACCCUGACAAAAGCCAAUCAUCUAUCUUUGGUGGGUAGCCUAGGUCUUUGAAAAACAGGGAUAGACACACACAUACAUCCAUUCACUGCGUGUGGACAACAUGGAACUGUUUGUGUUGUUAUAAUGUAAACUUUCCUCAUCUUCCACCCAUCUCCCUCAAAAAAGUUUACUUUAAAAGGGUUUGUUUGAGCAAGGAAGGGGCUGGGUCACCAGCCUAAGGAAGGCAAUGGGGCAGAGGCCAGGUAAACUGGAUGGAAUCAGGGGAACAUAGCGCCAGGUUGUCCUAAGAACCAAAGGCUCCCAGAAACCCUGGCCCGGGCUUCCCACUUGACAAGAACUGCAAGUCCACUAACCUGAACCAGUAUCUGAGCCCAGGUGAGGCCUGGGGUCUGCCCCACAUACACCCCAGGAUCAUGAGGCUUCGUGACAGCAGGCCCAGUGACAUCUACACCACACAUGCACAGCAUGGCCCUUCCUGAGCCACUUGGGCCACACAGCCAGGAUUCGGUCGCUGCUCUGGGCCAAGCAUCACACAGAAGGCGAGAGCCUUUUUGUCUGUCUUUAUUUACAGCAAAGUACAUAAUAUGUGGUCACUUUGUAACCACUAACAAUAAAG
rnacentral:lncRNA from 1 species